UAUCCUACGGGACGCAGCAGUAGGGAAUCUUCCACAAUGGACGAAAGUCUGAUGGGGCAACGCCGCGUGAGUGAAGAAGGGUUUCGGCUCGUAAAGCUCUGUUGGUAAUGAAGAAAGAUAGAGGUAGUAACUGGCCUUUAUUUGACGGUAAUUACUUAGAAAGUCACGGCUAACUACCUUCCAGCAGCCGCGGUAAUACGUAGGGUGCAAGCGUUGUCCGGAUUUUUUGGG
rnacentral:rRNA from 1 species